GCCUUUGUGGAUCAGUGUAGAUCGCCUCGAGAUUGUUACAGAGUUCGUUGUGAUGGACCAGGAGAUGUGGGUUCGAGUCCUACCAGAGGCA